ACCAGAGAAAUUUCAUGGCCACUUAAAAAAAUUCAUAAAAAACAUGAUGAAUAAAGAAUAUAAUUUUGUAUAAAACUAUUCAUUUUUAUUUUGUUUUUGCAGUGUCUUCUGUACUGUUACACAAACUUUUCUUUUCAAAUUAAUCACUUUUAAAUUAAAGCGAAUUUGUUGCUUUAUCUCCAACAAUUGAGAGCAUGUUCUUUGAAAAGGAGGAAAAACAAUUAAGUAGACGGUGAAAAGGUAAAUAAACUAAGUUAAAAGUAAAAGGAAAAUAAUUUUGUCUCUCCACUUUGGAAACAUUGUAAACUUUAUUACAGAACCCAUAAAAUUAAUUAAUUUUUCAAUCGUGGCCUUUGUUCAUACACGAUAAGAGGUUCUUUGUAUACUCGAAUCGUCGUGUUCUGAACAUAAAAUUGGUAUGCUGGUAAGUAUAUAUACCGACGCAGUCUAAUCCAGAAUUAUUGCGAACCUGAUAUACCUAUAAUUAGGUUUUGUGUUUUGGAAGCUAACCUUGACUCUUUUGAGCAAAUCAUAACCGGUAAUUCCUGGCAUACUAUAAUCUGUCAUGAUCAGGUUAACUUUUGAUACCUGAAAAAAUAUUUUUAUCAGAAACAGCCAAAUAGGUGUUGGAAACAGUAGGGAUUGAAAAUAAAUAGGUAUAUAUGUAAUAAGAAUUACUCUCCAACAAUUGAGAGCAUGUUCUUUGAAAAGGAGGAAAAACAAUUAAGUAGACGGUGAAAAGGUAAAUAAACUAAGUUAAAAGUAAAAGGAAAAUAAUUUUGUCUCUCCACUUUGGAAACAUUGUAAACUUUGUUACAGAACCCAUAAAAUUAAUUAAUUUUUCAAUCGUGGCCUUUGUUCAUACACGAUAAGAGGUUCUUUGUAUACUCGAAUCAUCGUGUUCUGAACAUAAAAUUGGUAUGCUGGUAAGUAUAUAUACCGACGC
rnacentral:lncRNA from 1 species